UAGGGAAUCUUGGUCAAUGGGCGCAAGCCUGAACCAGCCAUGCCGCGUGUGCGAAGAAGGCCCUAGGGUUGUAAAGCACUUUCAGUCGCGAAGAAAAGCGCCGGAUUAAUACCUCGGCGUCUUGACGUUAACGACAGAAGAAGUACCGGCUAACUCCGUGCCAGCAGCCGCGGUAAUACGGAGGGUACGAACGUUAAUCGGAAUUACUGGGCGUAAAGCGCGCGUAGGCGGUUCGGUAAGUGGGAUGUGAAAGCCCCGGGCUUAACCUGGGAACUGCAUUCCAAACUGCCAGACUAGAGUAUGGUAGAGGGAGGUAGAAUUUCCUGUGUAGCGGUGAAAUGCGUAGAUAUAGGAAGGAAUACCGAUGGCGAAGGCAGCCUCCUGGACCAAUACUGACGCUGAGGUGCGAAAGCGUGGGGAGCAAACAGGAUUAGAUACCCCCGUAGUCC
rnacentral:rRNA from 1 species